rnacentral:rRNA from 1 species
AACGAACGCUGGCGGCAUGCCUAACACAUGCAAGUCGAACGAAACCUUCGGGUCUUGUGGCGCACGGGUGCGUACCGCGGGGGGACCUGCCCUUAGGUUCGGAAUAACUCCCCGAAAGGGGUGCUAAUGCCGGAUAAUGUAUUCGGACCAACGAUUUUUCGCCGUUGGGUGGGCCCGGGUUGGAUUAGCUAGUUGGUAGGGUAAAAGCCUGCCAAGGCGACGAUGCAUAGCUGGUCGGAGAGGAGGAUCAGCAGCGCUGGGACUGCGACACGGCCCAGACGCGUACGGGAGGCAGCAGUGGGGAAUAUUGGACGAUGGGCGAUAGCCUGACACAGCAACGCCGGGUGAGUGAUGCAGGGGUUAGGGUUGUAAAGCUCUUUUAGCCGGGACGAUAAUGACGGUACCGGGAGAAUAAGCUCCGGCUAACUACGUG